UCCGUAGGUGAACCUGCGGAAGGAUCAUUAAUGAAAUUAUAAUCCGGCGAGGGGAAAGGCGGAGAGUUGUAGCUGGCCUCCAGGGGCAUGUGCACGCUCUCUUCCGGACCUUUCGCCGUAUGGGCGCGGGGCGACCCGCGUCUUCAUAUACCUCUUCGUGUAGAAAGUCUUUGAAUGUUUUACCAUCAUCGAGUCGCGACUUCUAGGAGACGCGAUUCUUUGAGAAAAAAGUUAUUACAACUUUCAGCAACGGAUCUCUUGGCUCUCGCAUCGAUGAAGAACGCAGCGAAUCGCGAUAUGUAAUGUGAAUUGCAGAUCUACAGUGAAUCAUCGAAUCUUUGAACGCACCUUGCGCUCCUCGGUGUUCCGAGGAGCAUGCCUGUUUGAGUGUCAGUAAAUUCUCAACCCCUCUCGAUUUGCUUCGAGCGGGUGCUUGGAUGUUGGGGGCUGCCGGAGACACUGGAUUCGUCCAGGACUCGGGCUCCUCUUAAAUGAAUCGGCUCGCGGUCGACUUUCGACUUUGCAUGACAAGGCCUUUGGCGUGAUAAUGAUCGCCGUUCGCCGAAGUGCAAGACAGAAUGGUCCCGUGCCUCUAAUGCGUCGACGCCUCUAUGGGCGUCUUCCUCAUUGACGUUUGACCUCAAAUCAGGUAGGACUACCCGCUGAACUUAAGCAUAUCAAUA
rnacentral:rRNA from 1 species